CCCAGCCCUCGGUGAUAUCAUUUGCCACAUUUUCCUUGGGUGAGCCUGGCUUUCCCGCCUGAAUGUAAGUUACCCAGGGGCUGACACCUGGCCUCAUUCACAUGUGUACCCCCAAAGCCUAGCCCAGAGCAGGUGCAUGAUAAAUUCUUAGUGCCAGGCAUGGCUCUAAACCCCAAGCACGGAUUGCCUCGCUUCGACUCCCCUGUUCCUCAUGAGGUAGGUCCCCUCCUUAUGUAAAUGCCAGGCCCAUAUUUACGCCCCAGCAGUCUAGCAAUAGAGCUCACCCUCAUAACCCUUAAGGGAUACUGCCUCUAGAAUAAGAUUAAAAGGGGAGCAGAUUCUACACUCACUGCCCCUGACUGCACCACCCUCCUGAAGCAUGCUUGAGAUGAGUUCAUACCCACUGACAUUUAUUGGGCACCAGCCCGCUAGGCAUUGUCCUAAUCCUGUUAAAGGAAUAACGAGAUACGUAUUAUCCUGCACAUUUUAUGGAAACUAAAGCCCUGGCAGAUGAAGACUUGCCCCAGGUCCCACAGGACAAGGACUGAAGGGAGGGGUGUGUGACACCCGCUUUAGGUCAACACUGUCCUAUAGCCCUUCUGGAGUGCAGAUGUCAUGAGGGAGGGAGCCUCCCUCCUUUCCAAGGAAGGUCUUUUUCUCAUCGUUUACCCUCUCCACAAAGGUAAAAAGACAGCAUCAGAAAUGGACAGUUGCUCCCUGGAGGUGACCAAACCAAGGCUGGGUGAUCUCUGAUCAGAGCUGCGGGGAAGAGGGUUCAUUUAUUGAGUGGACUAUUUGACUUGAUAAGAUUUGAAGACCUUUCAACUCUAAGAUUAUAUGAACCUUUCCUUUCUCACCAGGAACACGAGCUUUUAGUCAUUUUGGUUUGGUGAGUGUCAGCUAAAGAAGAGAAUCACCCAAGAAUGUGUCAUAGGAGGACUGAGACCGAGUUGGGACAGUCGAAAAGAAUGAACCCAGAAUACAGUUUUAUUCAUUUGGUUUUGGUUAAGUCAAACUGUGAAACGUGGAAAAUACACAGACUGUACUAUUCACAGGAUGAACAGCCACUUGCAUUUGUCCAAAAUGUGUAAUACACAACCACGGCAGAAGAGGAAAGGAGGCAUUCAGAGAUACGCAAUGGAAGUGCUUAAUUCAUGGCGAAUCGCUGUGCUGCGGCAGGUUGGAAUCCGGUUCAUCUAUUUCUACGUGAAACCGCUGGCAGUAGCCCUCUUUGCACAUCAGUCUACAGUGUCGCACCUGUUACAGCUCCAGUUUCCCGAUGUGGGACAGCUUCUGGACCUUCAGCUAUAUGCCUGUCCCCAACCCUAGUGAUCAUAGCUUUGUAUCAAUUUUCUUCCCUCAUCUAAGGCUGCCCCUUCUGGUUUUCUGCUUGUUUUUCCCCCCUCAGGUCCCUCUCCUUUUGCUAUGCCAUAAAUGCUGGUGUUCUUAGGGGUUCGGUGCACUUGUCUCUUACUUCCUCAUUCUAGACGCGAUCCCGUUGCCAUAUGCUCCCCAAAUACAUGCCUGAACUAUGA